rnacentral:lncRNA from 1 species
GUUGCAGAAAAUGUAGCACCUAUUGACAAUGUUGAGGUGCCUAAAUCUGACGAGACCCAGCAAGAAUUAAAACCAGAGCCAGCUAAAUGUGUAGAAUCUGAAAGUUCCUUAAUAGUUUCAGAUAACAAACAUCCUGUAUUACCUUCAGAGGAGGAAAGUCAGGCUAAUAAAGUAGGAAAUGAACCAAUAGGUAAAGAGGAGGAGCCCACUCCACUUGACCCAGCAGAUAAGUCAGUUCAUGUUGCUCCAGUUGAAGGAGAAACCAAAGCUCUAGAGGAAGCAAAAGAGGAGAACACUGUUGAGAAUAACAUUUUUGAAAAAGUUAUUAUUGAAGGGGCAGCUAAGCAGAAAAUACCCGGUGAGCUAUCAGUUGCGAUGGAAACAGUGAAAGACGCUGCUGAAGAAGAACGUAUGUAUGUAGCUGUUGAAAAAGAAACCAUUGAAGAGAGAGCUGUUGAGAAGGAAUUGAUUGGGAAUAAAACAUUUAAUGUCAAAGCCUUUGAAGAGGAGGGAGUUCAAAUGAAUGCAGCUAUUACAGAGACGAUUAUUGAAGUAAAAGCUGACAAAGGGAAAUCUUUUGAAGAAGAGGCAACUAAACAGAAAACAGUUGAGAAGGCAAAUGAUCAGAAAUCUCUAGAGGAGAAAGUUGCUAAAGCUGAAUCAAGUCCAGCACCCUCCACUACAGACACAGAGAAUGUUUGUCCUGCAAUAGACAAAAAAGAAUCAGAAACAGCAAGAGAGCCAACUCCAACUGUCGCUGACGAAAUCCCAAAAGAAGAGAUACCGAUACAUAAAGAGAUAGAACCAGAAACAAAGUAUGAGCCAUCUACUGCUGAGAGAAGCCUUGUUGAGACAGCAUCGUUGCCAGAGGAGUCAGAGGAAAAAGAAAAACCUAUUGUCGAUGCAGAGAGUGUAGCACACAAAGAAGAAAAACAGAUACCUAUAGAUACAAUGUUAAAAGUAGAUAAUAAAUCUGAGGUUACCUCGGUUUCCCCAACUCCUGAUUCUAAAGAGCAAGAAAAGGUAAAUGUAAAGGAAUCAAUGCAAAGUGUAGAGAUGGUGUCAUCCUCAGCUGUCAUUAGUGAGACACAAGUCAGAGAUGGAGCCUGUGAGGAGAAACUCAUUCAGGAUGGGACAGAAGCCGGUUCACAAAAUACAAACAGUAUUGCUGAAAAUCAACAUGAAGUAGAGAGGGAGACAGCUCUGACAGGCAGUGAUGAGAAACUGCUCGAGAAAGUUGCAGAGCAAAAGCUGUUAAUCAAAGAGAAGGAAGGAAAACUUGACAAAAAAGAGGUUGAGUCACAACCUGUUGCUGGCAAUAUCCAGGAUCUUAUUUCAAUAUCAGAAACAAGCACAGUCUGUGACAAAGAUGGCACUGCAGAGUUUGAUGUAGGAAAGACUACAACUUUAAAG